rnacentral:rRNA from 1 species
CAGUAGCCGCGGUAAUACGAAGGGUGCAAGCGUUAAUCGGAAUUACUGGGCGUAAAGCGUGCGUAGGCGGUUUGUUAAGUCUGUUGUGAAAUCCCCGGGCUCAACCUGGGAAUGGCAAUGGAUACUGGCAAGCUAGAGUGUGUCAGAGGAUGGUGGAAUUCCCGGUGUAGCGGUGAAAUGCGUAGAGAUCGGGAGGAACAUCAGUGGCGAAGGCAGCCCCCUGGGCCAACACUGACGCUCAUGCACGAAAGCGUGUGGAGCAAACAGGAUUAGAGACCCCCGUAGUCCCUGUCUCUUAUAC